rnacentral:lncRNA from 1 species
GAUAAUCCACGACGAAGUUGCUUCCUAACUUGUGAUUGGGGAAAUCCGUGCAAAUACCCAAUAGACCCGGGCAAGAUGGCCCAAAAAGAGGAAAGUUCUCUCCUUGCUUAUGAAAGCUUUUCAGAUCUAGCCAGGGGCACCCGAAGGUCUACGCCAGAUCCAUCCUCCAACAACAUCAAGAAGUCAUAUGUUGGGAAGUCAUGCAAGAUGCAAC